UACGAAGGACCCGAGCGUUAUCCGGAUUUAUUGGGUUUAAAGGGUGCGUAGGUGGAACGGUAAGUCAGUGGUGAAAGCCUGUUGCUUAACAACAGAACUGCCAUCGAUACUGCCGAUCUUGAGUACAUAUGAUGUGGGCGGAAUGUGCCAUGUAGCGGUGAAAUGCUUAGAUAUGGCACAGAACACCGAUUGCGAAGGCAGCUCACAAACCUGUAACUGACACUGAGGCACGAAAGCGUGGGGAUCAAACAGG
rnacentral:rRNA from 1 species